GGCCCCGUAGCUCAGGUGGAUAGAGCAACCGCCUCCUAAGCGGUAGGCCGUGCGUUCGAGUCGCGCCGGGGCCGCCA
rnacentral:tRNA from 1 species